GGAGGUGCUGGCGGGCGGGGCGGGCGGGGCGGGGCCGCACAGCAGGACGGUUCCGGUUCCAUCGCGAGUGUCCACCACCUUCUCAUCUCCACAGUCUCACCUGGAAGACAGAACCGACACUGGGUGCUGGGAACCUCCGCGUGGCCCUGAGGCCGACAGCCCCCGCUCCGUGGGUCCAGCAGCUGGAGACGCCCCCCGGCAAGUGUGCCGUCGAGGCGGGAGACCCCCCCGGACCAGCGGUGGCCGGGAACAAGAAGAAACAGAAGCAGAGGCAUUAAUUGGCCUGGCCCUGGUUACACACUUUCGGUGUGAGAAAGGGGGGCACCACGAAGCCGGACUCAAGAACUCCUGUCCCUUCCCUGCCUUGUCAGGGCCACCUGCUGAUUGCGGCGCUCUGCCCCGGAAGGGGCCCCCGAGAUGAAAUGUGCUCUGUCUCCGAUUACUGUGGUUUCCGUACAAUCCGCGGAGGGCCACUGCUCUCAACGAGACGGCCGAACUGAGACACCAGGACAAGGGUCCUGCCUCGUGAGGACAGCGCAUGAGGACAUCGUUCCAGGCAGACAAGACCGGGCACCACGGCGAUGGGCCAGCCCCUCCCCGCUCAGCGCUGCGCUGUCUUCCGCGCACCCGGGAAGCACACGCCGACGCUGAGGUCCGUGCGCCUGACGCUUCUUGCUCCACGUGGGGACUGAGUGCUACUGGGUGGCAGGGCCCGCGGCCGGGUGGAGGGGAAGGAGCUGAUGAACAAAAUUAAAAUCCCCAACCGGGAUCUGCCUCCCA